CGACCGUAGCAAGAAAUUUGUCCCUCAGUGACAUCCGUAGGGAGGGCGGGGUUAUUCCGAGAGAGCCCCUGGGUAGUUUUUCGGAGGCUUCUUUGGCUCAGUAGAGGAACGGCAGUCGAGACCAUGUUCCGCCUUGAGGGUCUGGGGCCCAAGCUGGACCCGGAGGAGCUGAAGCGCAAAAUGCGCGAGGACGUUCUCUCUUCCAUCCGCAACUUCCUCAUCUACGUAGCCGUGCUGCGCAUCACUCCAUUUGUUUUAAAGAAGCUGGACAGCAUAUGAUAGUAAGAGCUUCGAGGAUUGCCUACAUGAAAGACCAUGGAAUGCUUUUCUAAGAAUGGACUAUAGACAUUACCUUAACAGAUGGAUCCUGAACAUUUCCAUAUGAAGAUUGUAGAGCUAAAAAAGUAUUUCUCCAUUGAAAUCCAUCCUGCAUAUUAUGAAGUUGAGGAUAACAACCCCUAAUUACCACAAGAUAAAUCACUGCUGCAAAAGAUGUCAUUUCUGGGAUGGUUCCAUACUUUCAGAGAUUCAGAUUGAAGGGAUGGCCAUAUAGUGGCAAUUUCCAGCAACAUUUUCAUAGUUCUUACAAUGUCUUAACUUUACCUAUAGUGAAAUGUACAUUGAUUCUGCUUGACAGCACUAGGCUAUGAUACCAACUUGCCAUAACUUAC